AUUGGCUGAUUAUCCGGUGGGGUCCACCCCAGACAAGAAAAAAAUAUAUAAAUACCCCGCUCUUCGCUCAUUCAGUCUUUCACUACCAAAGACACGGCGUGGUAAACUUCACAAAUCCUGCAGGAAGAAAUAUGGCUAUCGUUAUAGUAGUAAGUUGUCUUUGGCAGCCGCACAGCGAACACCAUGCAUCCGCAAUAAAAUGACUCGAUCCCUUUGUAACGGGUUCAGAUGGCACCACCAGGCUGACUGGCUGUUCUGGUCUACAGAGGCGGCUGUAGGAAGUCCAUGAUGUGAAGCUGCCAUCACGUCAGGAGUCUGAGACCAUGUGACCUGGAUUGAACCGCCCUCCACCCCAUCCCUCAGACUCUCAAUGCUGCAGUCUGGUUGGUCAAUCUGAGACCAUGUGACCUGCAGUGAUCCAUCAGCCCUCUGGUUCCAUAGAUGGGAAGGGCUUCCCACCACAAUGGCUGCCCAUCCUGUGGUUUCUCUGGAGUGUUGCGUUUCAGAACCGGAAGGGUGCUGACCGACUUCCACCAUGUUGAAGGGGUGGUUACUACCCACAGCUGGCGUUAUCCAAUACAUGUGCUAUGUACCAAACUAAGCAUUGUAUGUGGGCCAAAUCAUUAGCUAAAUCUUGUAAUGAAUCUGGAGAUUGGCCAAGUUCAAGAGACUAGACUGGCUUAACCCUGGAUUGUACACUGAAAUGGUACAUUUGAUUUAACAGUAGCUGGGGGGGGGGGGGGUGUGAGGUCUUUAACACUGCCCUGGUUUCUUGAUAAUCAAUUCGUUCAGGCCCUAGUUUUUAGCACACCUAGGCUCCAGUUCAAACACUUAAGAUGUACCCUACCCCCUUCAGCCCUCAUUAAGUGGACACUUCUGAUACCCUAUAAUGCUGCCUGACGAGUAUACACUUGCAGGGCAAGGAAGGAUUUAAAAUGGCUGCUCUUGCCUGGAAAUCCGUUGCUCGUCCUGCGAUUGUCUUUUAAGCCACCUUGUGGGUGUUAUGCGCUACAGUCAACUAUGAUUGCAUAUCUUACAAUGUUAAAUGGUGUCGGCAGGGUAGCCUAGUGGUUAGAGCGUUGGACUAGUAACCGGAAGGUUGCAAGUUCAAAUCCCCGAGCUGACAAGGUACAAAUCUGUCGUUCUGCCCCUGAACAGGUAGUUAACCCACUGUUCCUAGGCCGUCAUUGAAAAUAAGAAUGUGUUCUUAACUGACUUGCCUAGUUAAAUAAAGGUUAAAAAAAAUACACUUACUGUAUGUCAGCUAGCAAAUUAAUUAGUUACCUUCCGUUAGCCUGUCUAGCUGGAACAUCUGAAGAUAAAAAGUUUCCAAAAGCUAACCAAAUAGUACUUUAUGAGAUGUUUGUGCUGUCGUGUGCAUUAGUAGUACAAUUUAGAACUUAUUUAUGUUUGUUUCUACAUUCACUUGGUAAAUUGACCACUAAAACGAGGGCUGAUGGGCUUAUGUUGCAAGCUUCCCUUGCUUGGCUAAUUUGCACCGCCUGCCAAGAUGGUGACGUUAUUCCUCCACGGGCAUAAAGUGAGGGUUUUUGGUUUGGACUGUGGCCCUGUACUAAUGUCCAGUUAUAUAGUGUAGUGCCACAAAGGACACAGGCAAAUUAGUUGGCCCAGAACAGGGCAGCGCAACUGGCAUUUAAUGGGUACUUCAGGAUUUUUGGCACACAAUAAGAGUAGUGUUUUUAUUUAUGUAGGCUGUAGUUUCAUUACUUAAUUACUAUUUUGUUUCCAAUUUCUGUUAUCCUCACCCUGCCUGUAUCUGGACCCUACAGUCUGCAGCAGUAUCGUAUAUCUUGUGUCAAGACCUUGGGUCUUUUGUUCUGUUAGGGUAGUCAAUAAAGUUUUUACAAUGUG